CCUACGGGUGGCUGCAGUGAGGAAUAUUGGUCAAUGGUCGGGAGCCUGAACCAGCCAAGCCGCGUGAGGGAUGAAGGUACAGAGUAUCGUAAACCUCUUUUGUCAGGGAACAAAGGCGGGUACGUUUCCCCUGAUGAGUGUACCUUACGAAAAAGCAUCGGCUAACUCCGUGCCAGCAGCCGCGGUAAUCCGGAGGAUGCGAGCGUUAUCCGGCUUUAUUGGGUUUAAAGGGUGCGCAGGCGGUCUGUUAAGUCAGCGGUCAAAGCCCGGGGCUCAACCCCGGCCAGCCGUUGAAACUGGCAGUCUCGAGUGGGAGAGAAGGAUGCGGAAGGCGCGGUGUAGCGGUGAAAUGCAUAGAUAUCGCGCAGAACUCCGAUUGCGAAGGCAGCAUGCCGGAUCCACACUGACGCUGAGGCACGAAAGCGUGGGUAUCGAACAGGAUUAGAUACCCUAGUAGUC
rnacentral:rRNA from 1 species